GACCUGAUGGUGUAGUGGUAACAUGCCUGCUGAAUUUCCAUCCCAAAACAAGUGCAGUAAGCAGGAGACUCUGGUUUGAACCCGGGUCAGGUCA